rnacentral:rRNA from 1 species
GAGUGCGAUCAUACCAGUGUUAAUGCACCGGAUCCCAUCAGAACUCUGCAGUUAAGUGCGCUUGGGCCAGAGUAGUAUUGGGAUGGGUGACCUCACUGGAAGUCCUAGUGUUGCACCCU